AUAAGAAUAAAAUUAAAGUGAAAUUGUUGAUCAUUUUAUCAAUAUUUUAAAUUUGUUGUAAUUUUUAAUUUGUUAGGUUGUGGCACAUGCCUUCAUGGUUUUCUACGUGUGGAACCAUGCUCUUAAUUCAGUAGAUUUAUCAAGCAAAGAUUCGUUACAUUCCUUUCAUUUAUUUAUGUUUAAGCUUGUAACUGUGGAAAGCAUCCUUAUACAAUUUGUUCGUUGAAGAAGUAGGAGAUUGUUGAUUUAAUAAAUGGUGCAACAUUUUCAACUAGAUUCAUGAAUAUUCAUGCAAGAUUAUUUAUGCCUUUAUAUUUUUGUAUCAAGUAAAUUAUUUUGUGAUGAGAUAGAUAAUAUUAUUUUUUAACUUUAGUCAAAUUCUAAUAAAUUCAAAUACUUCAAGUACUUCGUUAUACAACUGUAUUAUUUUAACAUUAGAAAUUAAAGCUAUCAUUCUAUGAUCGAUUAUCAUGUGUCUUUCUGUUUUGCGGCUAUAAUUUGUACCAUGAUAAACAGUGUAUAAUUGAGGAAUCAUUUUCAAGUUAAUGUAUGAAUGUUAUUUAUUUA